GCUUCGCUGCGUCGGGCUCUUUUGCUUGGGGCUUGGGCUUUAACUUGGAGUCUAACUCUUCGAGUGUGUGGAAGGAGUUAGUUUUUUGCGGAGGUUGAGGUUGAGGUUGCGGAGGUGGCGAGGUGGUAGGUGGUUUGGUGAUGACGGGUUUGAGGUCUUGGAGUGUUUUGCUGACCUCCUCCCAUGAUUGAGGGGCGUCGGUGGCGUCGAGCAUGUUGAGUUUGUGGAGGAUAGGAGCGGGGAGAGGGGUUUUGUCUUGGUGGAUUUGGGUGGAGGUCUCGUUCAGGUGCUUCAGCCAUGGCUCCUCGAUCGCGUUUAUGUCGAACACCGCGAAGCUCGUCGGCGCCGGCCGGUAAGGGACCGCUGCCACAUCCACACCCUUAGAG
rnacentral:lncRNA from 1 species